UACGGGGGGGGCAAGCGUUGUUCGGAAUUACUGGGCGUAAAGGGCUCGUAGGCGGCCAACUAAGUCGGAUGUGAAAUCCCCAGGCUCAACUUGGGAACUGCAUCCGAUACUGGCGAUCUCGAGUUCGGGAGAGGUGAGUGGAACUGCGAGUGUAGAGGUGAAAUUCGUAGAUAUUCGCAAGAACACCAGUGGCGAAGGCGGCUCACUGGCCCGAUACUGACGCUGAGACGCGAAAGCGUGGGGAGCAAACAGG
rnacentral:rRNA from 1 species